AGCUACAGGCUUAACACAUGCAAGUCGAGGGGCAGCAUGGUCUUAGCUUGCUAAGGCCGAUGGCGACCGGCGCACGGGUGAGUAACACGUAUCCAACCUGCCGUCUACUCUUGGACAGCCUUCUGAAAGGAAGAUUAAUACAAGAUGGCAUCAUGAGUCCACAUGUUCACAUGAUUAAAGGUAUUCCGGUAGACGAUGGGGAUGCGUUCCAUUAGAUAGUAGGCGGGGUAACGGCCCACCUAGUCUUCGAUGGAUAGGGGUUCUGAGAGGAAGGUCCCCCACAUUGGAACUGAGACACGGUCCAAACUCCUACGGGAGGCAGCAGUGAGGAAUAUUGGUCAAUGGGCGAGAGCCUGAACCAGCCAAGUAGCGUGAAGGAUGACUGCCCUAUGGGUUGUAAACUUCUUUUAUAAAGGAAUAAAGUCGGGUAUGCAUACCCGUUUGCAUGUACUUUAUGAAUAAGGAUCGGCUAACUCCGUGCCAGCAGCCGCGGUAAUACGGAGGAUCCGAGCGUUAUCCGGAUUUAUUGGGUUUAAAGGGAGCGUAGAUGGAUGUUUAAGUCAGUUGUGAAAGUUUGCGGCUCAACCGUAAAAUUGCAGUUGAUACUGGAUAUCUUGAGUGCAGUUGAGGCAGGCGGAAUUCGCGGUGUAGCGGUGAAAUGCUUAGAUAUCACGAAGAACUCCGAUUGCGAAGGCAGCCUGCUAAGCUGCAACUGACAUUGAGGCUCGAAAGUGUGGGUAUCAAACAGGAUUAGAUACCCUGGUAGUCCACACGGUAAACGAUGAAUACUCGCUGUUUGCGAUAUACAGCAAGCGGCCAAGCGAAAGCGUUAAGUAUUCCACCUGGGGAGUACGCCGGCAACGGUGAAACUCAAAGGAAUUGACGGGGGCCCGCACAAGCGGAGGAACAUGUGGUUUAAUUCGAUGAUACGCGAGGAACCUUACCCGGGCUUAAAUUGCAGAUGAAUUACGGUGAAAGCCGUAAGCCGCAAGGCAUCUGUGAAGGUGCUGCAUGGUUGUCGUCAGCUCGUGCCGUGAGGUGUCGGCUUAAGUGCCAUAACGAGCGCAACCCUUGUUGUCAGUUACUAACAGGUCAUGCUGAGGACUCUGACAAGACUGCCAUCGUAAGAUGUGAGGAAGGUGGGGAUGACGUCAAAUCAGCACGGCCCUUACGUCCGGGGCUACACACGUGUUACAAUGGGGGGUACAGAGGGCCGCUACCACGCGAGUGGAUGCCAAUCCCAAAAACCUCUCUCAGUUCGGACUAGAGUCUGCAACCCGACUCCACGAAGCUGGAUUCGCUAGUAAUCGCGCAUCAGCCACGGCGCGGUGAAUACGUUCCCGGGCCUUGUACACACCGCCCGUCAAGCCAUGGGAGCCGGGGGUACCUGAAGUGCGUAACCGCGAGGAGCGCCCUAGGGUAAAACUGGUGACUGGGGCUAAGUCGUA
rnacentral:rRNA from 1 species